AGUGAACGCUGGCGGCAGGCCUAACACAUGCAAGUCGAGCGGCAGCGCGGGGGCAACCCUGGCGGCGAGCGGCGGACGGGUGAGGAAUUCGUCGGAAUCUGCCUUUUUGUGGGGGAUGACGUAGGGAAACUUACGCUAAUACCGCAUACGUCCUACGGGAGAAAGUGGGGGACCGCAAGGCCUCACGCAGAAAGAUGAGCCGACGACCGAUUAGCUAGUUGGUGGGGUAAAGGCCCACCAAGGCGACGAUCGGUAGCUGGUCUGAGAGGAUGAUCAGCCACACUGGGACUGAGACACGGCCCAGACUCCUACGGGAGGCAGCAGUGGGGAAUAUUGGACAAUGGGCGCAAGCCUGAUCCAGCCAUGCCGCGUGUGUGAAGAAGGCCUUCGGGUUGUAAAGCACUUUUGUCCGGAAAGAAAUCCCUGGAGCUAAUACCUUCGGGGGAUGACGGUACCGGAAGAAUAAGCACCGGCUAACUUCGUG
rnacentral:rRNA from 1 species